rnacentral:rRNA from 1 species
UACGUAGGGUGCAAGCGUUAAUCGGAAUUACUGGGCGUAAAGCGUGCGCAGGCGGCUUUGCAAGACAGAUGUGAAAUCCCCGGGCUUAACCUGGGAACCUGCAUUUGUGACUGCAAGGCUGGAGUGCGGCAGAGGGGAUGGAAUCCGCGUGUAGCAGUGAAAUGCGUAGAUAUGCGGAGGAACACCGAUGGCGAAGGCAAUCCCCUGGCCUGCACUGACGCUCAUGCACGAAGCGUGG